rnacentral:rRNA from 1 species
CCAGUAGGCGGCCAACUAAGUCCGACGUGAAAUCCCCAGGCUCAACUUGGGAACUGCGUCGGAUACUGGAUGGCUUGAAUUCGGGAGAGGGAUGCAGAAUUCCAGGUGUAGCGGUGAAAUGCGUAGAUAUCUGGAGGAAUACUGGUGGCGAAGGCGGCAUCCUGGACCGAGAUUGACGCUGAACGGCGAAAGCUAGGGGAGCAAACG